rnacentral:lncRNA from 1 species
AAAUAGUAACAAAAUUAACAAUAAAACAAGAGUUAUAUAAUAUCCAAACAAUAACAACAAAAUAGUACCAACAUAAUACUAAAAUGGUAGAAAAAUAGUGAAAAAAAAUAACAAGAAAAUAAAAAAAGAGGUAAAAAAUCAAGGAAAAGCAUCAAUUUUUUUUGCAUAUUCGAGUCGAGCCGAACCCGGGCCAAAAAAC